rnacentral:rRNA from 1 species
UACGAAGGGGGCUAGCGUUGCUCGGAAUUACUGGGCGUAAAGCGCACGUAGGCGGCUUUGUAAGUUAGAGGUGAAAGCCCGGGGCUCAACUCCGGAAUUGCCUUUAAGACUGCAUCGCUAGAAUUGUGGAGAGGUAAGUGGAAUUCCGAGUGUAGAGGUGAAAGUUCGUAGAUAUUCGGAAGAACACCAGUGGCGAAGGCGACUUACUGGACACAUAUUGACGCUGAGGUGCGAAAGCGUGGGGAGCAAACAGG